CUCAAGUGCUGAGCUAUGUAAAGGAGUUCCACAUCAAACGCCCAGCGUUCUACGUGGAGGGUUGAGAAUGUCCGCAAUGCAGCUUCUCUGGUUAAAAGUUUAAAUCCACACUGUGUAUCCCUGAUCUUUUUGACACAGAGAAACCACACAAGGAAAUGGAAGCCGUACAUAAGAAGAGUUCGAAAGUAAGAGCGCUUUGCUAUUGAGUCCUUUUCCAGAUGAGCUCUAG
rnacentral:lncRNA from 1 species